ACCAGCGUGGUGUAGUGGUUUGAGCAUAGGACUAUGACUCUGAAGACCAGGGUUCGAAUCCCAGCUCAGUCA
rnacentral:tRNA from 1 species